rnacentral:tRNA from 1 species
GGGCUCAUAGCUCAGUUGGUAGAGCAUUCGUAUCACACACGAAAGGUCUCAGGUUCGAGUCCUGAUGGGCCCA